rnacentral:rRNA from 1 species
GACGAACGCUGGCGGCGUGCCUAACACAUGCAAGUCGAACGGAACUGUUUUGAAAGAUUUCUUCGGAAUGAAUUUGAUUUAGUUUAGUGGCGGACGGGUGAGUAACGCGUGAGUAACCUGCCUUCAAGAGGGGAAUAACAUUCUGAAAAGAAUGCUAAUACCGCAUGACAUAUCGGAACCACAUGGUUUUGAUAUCAAAGAUUUUAUCGCUUGAAGAUGGACUCGCGUCCGAUUAGUUAGUAGGUGAGGUAACGGCUCACCAAGACCGCGAUCGGUAGCCGGACUGAGAGGUUGAACGGCCACAUUGGGACUGAGACACGGCCCAGACUCCUACGGGAGGCAGCAGUGGGGGAUAUUGCGCAAUGGGGGCAACCCUGACGCAGCAACGCCGCGUGAAGGAUGAAGGUUUUCGGAUUGUAAACUUCUUUUAUUAAGGACGAAAAAUGACGGUACUUAAUGAAUAAGCUCCGGCUAACUACGUG